UACGUAGGGGGCAAGCGUUGUCCGGAUUUAUUGGGCGUAAAGAGCGUGUAGGCGGCCAUACAGGUCAGCUGUGAAAACUCGAGGCUCAACCUCGAGAGGUCGGUUGAAACCGUAUGGCUAGAGUCCGGAAGAGGAGAGUGGAAUUCCCGGUGUAGCGGUGAAAUGCGCAGAUAUCGGGAAGAACACCCGUGGCGAAGGCGGCUCUCUGGGACGGUACUGACGCUGAGACGCGAAAGCGUGGGGAGCGAACAGG
rnacentral:rRNA from 1 species